AAUCAGUUAUCGUUUAUUUGAUAGUACCUUGCUACUUGGAUACCUGUGGUAAUUCUAGAGCUAAUACAUGCUAAAACCCUCGACUUCGGAAGGGGGGUAUUUAUUAGAUAAAAAACCAAUGCCCUUCGGGGCUCCUUGGUGAUUCAUAAUAACUUAACGAAUCGCAUGGCCUUGCGCCGGCGAUGGUUCAUUCAAAUUUCUGCCCUAUCAACUUUCGAUGGUAUUGUAGUGGAUUACCAUGGUUUCUACGGGUAACGGGGAAUUAGGUAUGUUACUCUAUUCAUUGCCUAUCGUUGCGAUUGGCUAAACGUUCAUUUAGGGUUCUAUUCCGGAGAGGGAGCCUGAGAAACGGCUACCACAUCCAAGGAAGGCAGCAGGCGCGCAAAUUACCCAAUCCCGACACGGGGAGGUAGUAAGUUUACCUUUGUGACCCUAUUUAUUUCAGAAGAUCGUACUAACUUUCUUCCUCUAGGUGACAAUAAAUACUGAUGCAGAGCUCUUUUGGGUUUUGCAAUUGGAAUGAGUACAAUUUAAAUCCCUUAACGAGGAACAAUUGGAGGGCAAGUCUGGUGCCAGCAGCCGCGGUAAUUCCAGCUCCAAUAGCGUAUAUUAAAGUUGUUGCAGUUAAAAAGCUCGUAGUUGAAACUUGGGCCUGGCUGGCCGGUCCGCCUCACCGCGUGUACUGGUCCGGCCGGGCCUUUCCUUCUGGGGAGCCGCAUGCCCUUCACUGGGCGUGCCGGGGAACCAGGACUUUUACUUUGAAAAAAUUAGAGUGUUCAAAGCAGGCCUAUGCUCGAAUACAUUAGCAUGGAAUAAUAGAAUAGGACGUGUGGUUCUAUUUUGUUGGUUUCUAGGACCGCCGUAAUGAUUAAUAGGGAUAGCCGGGGGCGUCAGUAUUUAAUUGUCAGAGGUGAUAUUCUUGGAUUUAUUAAAGACUAACUACUGCGAAAGCAUUCGCCAAGAAUGUUUUCAUUAAUCAGUGAACGAAAGUUAGGGGAUCGAAGACGAUCAGAUACCGUCGUAGUCUUAACCAUAAACUAUGCCGACUAGGGAUCGGACGGUGUUAUUUUUUUUGACCCGUUCGGCACCUUACGAGAAAUCAAAGUCUUUGGGUUCUGGGGGGAGUAUGGUCGCAAGGCUGAAACUUAAAGACAUUGACGGAAGGGCACCACCAGGCGUAAAAGCAGUUACUCUGCGCCUAUAGUCGUUAAGCCGUUUCGACGGCUUAGGUGAAGGAAUGUCCUCUUGCCUGUCAAAAGGCAAGGAAAAUCGACGAGUCUGGCCAACUUCCAGGCAAUAUACCUAAAAUGCGGGGAUUUUCCGAAGGUAUCAGGAUACUCGCUCGCUUCGAAAGAGUCGGGCAUAGUAACAAUUCCUGGUCCCGUUCCAUAUAGGAAAUAUCCGCAGCCAUGUCACCUACGGUUUGAAGAAAACUAUGGUUAUGGUUCAGAGAUUAGAUGGGUGUGGAUAGAACUGUUGUCCGCAGCGUAACAGUAAUAUCUAAGCUAUAAUCCAGCCUUUGGUUGAAGGACCUAAGUAAACAACGGGAGCCUGCGGCUUAAUUUGACUCAACACGGGGAAACUCACCAGGUUAACUGAUCGUAUCGUUACUGUCUGGGCCUGGUGAACCGACUUAUUAGAAUCGCUACUCGCUCCUAAUAAGUGUCGGAGCAGUACUGCGGCUUCCGCGGUGCGACACAAGCUGGUACAGGGGAUGUCCUAUCUGUCCGUGAUCUUCAUGACAGGUAUGGCUAACCCUGUGGUGAGCCUAUAAGGCCAUCGCAACGCACGCCAAGCUGUGGGUAACCUUGCAAAGCAACGGUUAUUUCUGAUACGUGCUAAUCCCGUGGACACACCACGCUGGAACAGGUCCUCGUUUAAUGGGACAAACUUGACAAGUUUGAUCCCCAUCAGUCGGGGAUGGUAUUAAUGCCAGACAUAAUAAGGAUUGACAGAUUGAGAGCUCUUUCUUGAUCUUAUGGGUGGUGGUGCAUGGCCGUUUUUAGUUGGUGGAGUGAUUUGUCUGCUUAAUUGCGAUAACGAACGAGACCUUAACCUGCUAAAUAGCCCGGUCAGCUUUGGCUGGCCGCCGGCUUCUUAGAGGGACUAUCGGCUCAAGCCGAUGGAAGUUUGAGGCAAAAACAGGUCUGUGAUGCCCUUAGAUGUUCUGGGCCGGUACGUCACCACUCCAUUUUCUUUCAUCUUUUCGAAUUCUAGCUAACGUAUUUACAGCACGCGCGCUACACUGACAGAGACAACGAGUUCAUCACCUUGGCCGAAAGGUUCGGGUAAUCUUGUUAAACUCUGUCGUGCUGGGGAUAGAGCAUUGCAAUUAUUGCUCUUCAACGAGGAAUGCCUAGUAAGCGCAAGUCAUCAGCUUGCGUUGAUUACGUCCCUGCCCUUUGUACACACCGCCCGUCGCUACUACCGAUUGAAUGGCUCAGUGAGGCCUUCGGACUGGCUCAGGGAGGUCGGCAACGACCACCCAGAGC
rnacentral:rRNA from 1 species